GGAUGCGAUCAUACCAGCACUAAAGCACCGGAUCCCAUCAGAACUCCGAAACUAAGCGUGCUUGGGCGGGAGUAGUACUAGGAUGGGUGACCUCCUGGGAAGUCCUCGUGUUGCAUUCC
rnacentral:rRNA from 1 species